rnacentral:rRNA from 1 species
UACGUAGGUGGCAAGCGUUGUCCGGAAUUAUUGGGCGUAAAGCGCGCGCAGGUGGUUUCUUAAGUCUGAUGUGAAAGCCCACGGCUCAACCGUGGAGGGUCAUUGGAAACUGGGGAACUUGAGUGCAGGAGAGAAGAGUGGAAUUCCACGUGUAGCGGUGAAAUGCGUAGAGAUGCGGAGGAACACCGAUGGCGAAGGCAGCCCCCUGGGCUGACACUGACGCUCAGGCACGAAAGCGUGGGGAGCAAACAGG